rnacentral:rRNA from 1 species
GACAGAGGGUGCAAACGUUGUUCGGAAUUACUGGGCGUAAAGCGAGUGUAGGCGGCUUGGCAAGUCGGAUGUGAAAGCCCCGGGCUCAACCCGGGAAGUGCACUCGAUACUGCUUAGCUUGAGUGUCGGAGAGGUUGGUGGAAUUCUCGGUGUAGAGGUGAAAUUCGUAGAUAUCGAGAGGAACAUCGGCGGCGAAGGCGGCCAACUGGACGAACACUGACGCUGAGACUCGAAAGCGUGGGGAGCAAACAGG